rnacentral:lncRNA from 1 species
CCUUCUCUUGACAAAAUUUUCUCCACAGCUCAUACAUCAUCAUGCACUCGAUCUUUUUUUUUUGCGGGGUACGUGCAGGAGCUCCGGCGGCAUGGAGAUGGCGGCCGAGAACGGCGGCUGCGGCUGCACCCAGUGCAAGUGCGGCACCAGCUGCGGCUGCUCCUGCUGCAGCUGCUAGAUCAUUGAUCAUGCAUGCGCCGCGUGCAUCAUAUCUAUGAUCUACGUAUCCAUCUACUACCAUGUAAUGCCACCUGAUCGAGGGUCUUUGUAUGUAUGUAGUAUGUACGCACCUGCCUGCAUGAGCAGAGCGGGUGCCAUUCCAUGCAUGUAAACCCCUAAAUAAAAUCUCCCGUGGUUUUGCUUACAUCGUGUUGUUAGAUCCUCCUCCUAUUAGUGUUGCUUUCGGGUUCUUCUUAUGCACUAGCAGGAUCAGAGGCCGGUCUUUUGUUCUUGGUCUUCUCCUCAAACUGUCGUUUUCCUCUUCUCUAUGGUUCCAUGUGCGGCAGUAUUUUCUUCUUCUGUUGCCGAGUGUUGUAUCAGACUGUACCUUGUUUUGUGGUUUAUUCCUAUCCAUCUCGAAAUAUAGUGCAGGAAUUUAUUUGCAAAAGGUGGAUCUCAACAAGACACGACGGUAUGUGUAUCUUGCAGGAUUUAUUGAUCGGUCUAUCUUAUGCAUCUUAUUAAAAAAAUACAUUAAGGUCUCAUGGUCAAGCCAAAUUAUCAUUGUUUUUCCUUGCAUGCAAAAUGCAGCAAUAAAUCUUCGUCCUUGGCUUGUUUCUCAUUUCACUGCCUACGUUGCAGGUAUCCGACCCUGUUGGAAUCUCCUUUUCUGUCAUUGUGUUCACUUUCUGUGAUGUGAUGUGUGCGCAAAUAUUCCCACAACAACAACAUAAUAAUAAAGCCAUAUACGCAAGCAACCGAAUAAUGGCAAUGAUAUAUUACUGCUCAAGGCGCAUCUCCAAAUCAACCUGUCAUGUCCAUGGCUGCGUCUAAGCACUCGGGGCAGAAAUACUCACUCUCCGCCACUGAUUCAUAUCACCGAAUCCACACGGCCAAAUUACGUCCUCCAUGUUUUAAGCGAUGCCACUAUAUCUCGUGGGAAAAUUGUUUCCACAGUUCGAUAUCCCUCCCUUUGAUGAAAAAAUUCACGCUUGGCUUCUGCAUCACAGAGUGCAGAUAACGAAUAUUGUUUUCUAUGUUCUGAACUGGAACACUAUAUCUUGUGUAAAAAAUUGUGUCAACAAUAUCGAUAUUCCCUCCUAUAAAAUAAAAUCAUCAAUAGCUCACUUCUCUAUAUAACUGGAUGCAAAGUAAUGGGCGGUGUGGAGCACCCAAGACAGCACGCAAAAUAUCGGUGUUAUUUUAACUCCACUACGUAGACAAGUCACUAUAUUUACACAAUUAUGUAAGAAAAAGAGCUCUUUUAUGGUACCCUGUAUUGAAUAUUGACCGUCCAUCUGCAAAGAUCCAAUGGUGGGUACUUAUCUGUACUGGUGAAACUGGAUUAGCAGCAUCGCUAGUACCGCACGUCUCACGUCCACCGGUAUACUGCUCGGAGGGCAUUAUCGGUGACUCUGCAUCACCGGCAGCCGCCCGCCGGGGCUCGCCUCCUCUUCGCCCCCAUGCCCGCUGGGGCGCCUCCUCCCUGCCUUUAAUCCGCUGUGCUAUGCAUGCUUCUAUGGUUUUGGACUUCUGGCAUGGCACCGUGCGCCCCAUCCCCCUUCCACGCUACGGCCGCGAUGUUCUUUGCCGCCCCGCAUGGCUGAGCAGUGAGCACCUUAGCAUCGCGUUUAUUGUGUUGCCUCGUUCAUGACGACAGUGCAUGCCAAACCACCCUGCGUUGACGAUGAGGCCAGGAUGUGUACAACGUCGUGGUCUUCACGGAGAGCUGCGGCUACGAGAGUGCCGGAGCCUGGCGGAACCUCGCCUAUUUUGUGCUAACCAUGCCCUCGCUACGCUCAUGGCCGUCCUCCUUUAUUUUACUACCGCUUGCCUUCAUGAUCGAGCUCUUCAUGGCCUGGAUCACGCUUUACUUUAGCCUCAGCUUGCCGGACGUGGAGCAGCUACUCAUCUGCCUUUGCUGUGAGGUCGACGACCACGUCAUUGUUCAAAAGCUCACCCAGGCAGGGCUCAACAUACCUGUUUCCUCGUCGUCACCCCGCUGUCACAGACUCACAGGAGUGCACGAUGCAUUCCGAAAUAUUGAUUCGCCAGAGCAAUUCCCUUCACGAACACAAGAAGAGCUUUCACCGUCACAUAUACUGCUCCCUCCCCAGUAGCAGUAUAGGGUACCAUAAAAACCCUCAAGAAAAAUAAAUAACUCAGAGAACUGUCUGGCCAUAGAUGGAGCUUUCUACAGAUGGGGACAAGAAUUUGGCACCACCCACUCAAUUUCCCUCUCACCUUUUUGCAUUGCUUUCAUAUGUAAAAAAACAAAAACAAAAUAGUGAGUUGACUUGCGAUCUGCCUUAAAAUGACAAGAUGACGGUUGGGGGUUAAAAAAACAUUCAAAUGCAUUUUAUAUAUUCAUAUGUUUACUUAUUUUGUAUUUGUUUGUGCAUGUCAUAAAAAUCAUCAAUUUCCACAAGCAUACAUAAUACUCAAUGAUCUACAUUGACAAUAGGCUUUGAGAUUUUUCAACGCAUGACAAGAAAAAUCAAAUGAGGUCAGCUGGAAAUUAAAGAUCAGUUUUGACUUCCAAAAAAUUAUGAUCUCUUUUGUCCAAACUUAAAAGGAAUCAUUACAGAAAAUUUGGAGAUUCCAAUUGUUAGAAUAUUUUCCUACAGGACUAGUAGGGCUGGGAACCAUAAUGAUAUUUUCUAUGGCCUAAUUGACAUGUUUAUGUUGAGCCAAAUCUUUUGGAAAUAGUUUCGUUGAUUCAGUGACAACUAUGUGCUUGCACCUAACGCUUGAGAAAAUUCUUGUAUUUUUUCCCUCUUGCAAUAAAUCAACAUCCAUAUUUUACGCAUUUACUCCAUCUUCAAUUCCCACAGAAUUCAACACAGCAUGACCUGAAAUCUGUGUGUUAAGUUUUCCGGUUCCUGUCUUUUUAAAAUGCUGCAAAAGUAUGUGGCAUGUAAUCUUUAAAAAUAGUGGGAGUGUGAUAGUUAUUGAAAUGCAUGUAGGAUGGAAACUAAAAUUUCAGUAAAAUUCAGCUUAUAACACUAAAAUUGAAAAGGUUGCCAAGCCUAUGGCAACCAAGAGCCGCCAAGAUUUCUUAAAUAACAAAUAUUUUCGGCGACCUCCCCCAAAGAAGACAUAGCUUUUUCCUUGUCUUGACAUUCAAAAGCACUGAGUGAGGGGUAUCGGCUGAAUAUAUUCACUAAGGGCAUGCACAAAAGAGAGUUGACUAUUAUUAUUUUGCAAUGCUUUCAGAAUUUAGUUUGAUAUUGGUUUAAUUCAUAGUUCAUAAUUUACCGAGAAAUACCACUACGAGGUCAAGCACCCCUAAACUUGACCGUUAUGGCUGCAUGCAUCAAUGUAUGCCGAGGGCCGCGCGCGGGGGGUCUUGUUUGGAAAAUAAUAAUGAUCUUAUAGUGCAAUGAUUGGUCAUUGCCUAAGGUAUUUCCCUCUGUUCCAAGAUACAAGGUGUAUUUUUUAUUAAAAAAAACAAAAUUCCCUAUGUUUGACCAAAUUUAAAAUAAAACGUCUCUGUGUUUGGAAACCAUUUAUAUUUUUAUAAGCUCGAUCAAACAUAGAAGAUUUGACUUCAGAAAAAAAAAUAGUACAACUUAUAUUAUGAAACGGGAGUUAGUAGGUACACCAAUAAUUCGAUAUACGCACAAAAUGCUGGCUGUAGUUCCUUUCAUGGCUCCUUUGAUGUAAGAAAGAUGCUAGUAGAGACUAGAGACAAAGGGAAUCAAAUUAUGGGAGGAGGCGGCCCUAUCUAUAUUCCUCUUCCCCAAGCGGUUGCUCCCGUCCAUCCUUUGCCAAAAGUGGAGCAUCUCCCAUUUCCUUCUUCAUCUUCUCCUCCUCCUCCUUCCUUCGUAUUCACUCACCUAUAAAUAGCCCUCGCUGCCUGCCAUUGUUACUCAAGCCAGCAAGCAAGAAGCACAAAAGAAGCCAACACCAAUCAAGGCCUCCAUCCAAUCCCAAGCAACCUCGAAGAUGUCUUGCUGCGGAGGAAGCUGCGGCUGCGGCAGCGCCUGCAAGUGCGGCAACGGCUGCGGCGGCUGCAACAUGUACCCCGAGGUCGAGGCCGCCGGCGCCACCCUCCUCGUCGCCGCCACCGCCACCCACAAGGCGUACGUCCCUUCUCCUUCCUCAUAUAUCAUGCACUCGAUCGUAACAAUAUGACUGUAUGUUGAUCUUGGUAUGGGUGGGGUACGUGCAGGAGCUCCGGCGGCAUGGAGAUGGCGGCCGAGAACGGCGGCUGCGGCUGCACCCAGUGCAAGUGCGGCACCAGCUGCGGCUGCUCCUGCUGCAGCUGCUAGAUCAUCGGUCAUGCAUGCACCGCGUGCCUCAUAUCUAUGAUCUAUCUAUAUAUCCAUCUACCACCAUGUAACGCUACCUGAUCACGGUCUUUGUAUGUAUGUACGCACCUGCCUGCAUGAGCAGAGCAGGUGCCAUGCCAUGCAUGUAAACCCCUAAAUAAAAUCUCCCGUGGUUUAACCCCCUAUACAUGUGUUUGUGUUAUAGUCUUAUAGACCAACUUCUGGCCCAUGUUUACUAUGAACUUGCGACUUGCGAGGUGCCUGGGUUGUUAAUAGACCAGCUGGAUGCUCUCUUGAAGCAACGUAUGCACCGCUUGGAGUCGGUGUAUCUUUAUACACAUGUAUUUAUUUUACAGGUGUAUAUCAUCGGCCACACCUGGGAAAAAACGAUGGAUGGAGAAGUGUAAAUUUACAGGGGUAUUGCUCUGUGAAACGAGAAUCGAAUCAGGGCCUUAAGGGUAGGGAUGGCAAUGGGUAGGGUAUGGGCGCGUACGACUUUUUUCUGCCCAAACCCAUACCCAAAUCUUUUUUCUAUACCCAUCUAUUUCAAUAUCCAUGGACACAAAUUGGUACCCAUGCCCAUACCUAUCGGGUAUAUUAUACCCAAUGGAUAUCCAAUGGGUAUAGUAUCUAACAUUGGCAUGAUAAAGGUAAGCCAAGAAAAGGGCCUAAAACUAAAUUUAGGUACUCGGCCAUCACAAUCCGGUUUGCACUUACAUCAAAAUUUUACAAUGUGGAUUGACACACAAAUGUCUUAAUCUUCAUUACAAACUAACUUAAAAAAACAAGUUUCAAACUUGCAAUGCCAAUCACUGUAGGUAUUAUAGGGUUUAAUUUAUUUAUUAAUUUUUCUGGGUAUCCAUUAGGAUACCCAUGGGUAUAAUUUCAUACCCAUACCCUACCCAUGCAUUUUGCGGGUAUGGACACCCAUUACCCAUGGGUAUGAAGUAGUAAAAAGUCUUAUCCAUGCCCACUGUUUUCGGGUAGGGUACCCGCGGGUACCCAUACCCAUGGGCAAAACUGCCAUCCCUACUUAAGGGCGUUUGAUACAUGCGAAUAUUACUGGCCAAAGUUGAGUAUGAGAUACAUACAAUACAAACUUGACACUUUUGAAAGUCGUGCUAUCAAUCAUGAGACGCAUAGUUUAGCCAAAUUCUCGCUUAAUCUUUGUCAAAGGGUGUCACAUCUGGUUUGGCCAACCCCAUGAUCCGAUAUGUAUCCUACUCUCUGUGGUUUUCGAUGAAUAAAAUUUGGUUAAACCCUAAAAAAACUUAUUUGACGCGCCUUAGUUUUUUUCGAGAAUUUUUUUUAAAUCCGUUCAUCAAUCAUGGCAGUACAAAAAUCACAACCAGGUCCAUGAACCACCUAGCGACGACUACACUCACUGGAGCGAGCUAAACGUGCGCCGCCAUUAUCGCCCCUCCCUUACCGGAGUCGGACAAACCUUAUUGUAGUAGACAGUUGGAAAGUUAUCGUGCUAAGACCCUCAAGGACCACCGCACUGCAUAGCAACCAUCGUCGAUGAAAAGAGUUGUAGAUUGGAAAGAUCAAAGCUAUAACCACACAAGCGAAGACGAACAAAAAUGGAUCCAAUAGAUCCACCAAAGUCCAGCACGACAGAAUCCUGUGAGAUCCGGCGGGGACACACCUCCACAUGUCCUCCUCCGAUGUUAUUCGCACCACCGGGACGAGGAUCGGAUGUGGGAGACAUUAUUCCUACCCAGGGACAUCACUACCGUCACACAGCCCCAACCAAGACGUUAAACCUAACAAAAACGAGAACGGGUCCCUCCCGCUGCCGGGGGGCCAAGAUCCUCCGCACUCCGGGGAAUCGGCGCCGGCGGCAACGGGAUGAGAAAGGAAACUUUUCUUGAGAAGGAGGAAAGACAGACACAUACUGUUGUGUCUAAAUUACCGUGUCUUAGUUUGAUGUACUAUUUGCACCAGCUACUUCAUAACUAGAUUGCCAUGGUUGACGAUGGGUGUGUUCCCCUCUACUAAUAGUGCGGCAGUGCCCUAGCGGCGACAACUAUAUCAUGAACAAUUAAAACUUCACGAAAUUGGUGGCCUGGUGACUUAUGCCUGUGCCUAUAUCGCACGCUCUUUUGUGAUGACAAAGAAACAGAUUAUCAUUUUCGGAGGUUAAAUGGAAACAGAUGGAGUGAACCACAUGUAUGUUGUACCAGCAAAACAAUAUUUAAAUCGAUUCGUUGAUGAUUUCCUUGAUAUAAAAUUUGAGGUGUGCUCUACAACACCCCACCCUACCCCCGGAGCUCCUAUUUGGCACGCUAAGCGCUAGCGGUCGAGCCCGUGCGCGUCCCCUUCCCUUGCACACCCAUUUGGGUCGGCCCAUGCGCGGGGCGGGACACGCCGUUUUUAUUUUUUAUUUUUCUUUUAUUUAUUUUUUAAAUAAUUCAGGAUUUCAAAAAGUUUCAAAUUUAAAAAAAAUGUCAACUUUGAAAAAACAAAGAAAUCAUAAAAUGUUCAUGGAUUCAAAAAAUAUCUUGAAUUUGAAAGACAUGUCCGGACAUUCCCAAAAUGUUCAUAAAUUUGAACAAAAUGUUCACAAAUUAAAAAACAUGUUCAGAAAACUAAAUAAAUGAUUCUCAAUUACGAAAAUAUUGAAAAAUCAAAAAAUGUUCGUUGAUUCAAAAAAUGUUAAUUAAUUUCGAAAAAUAUUUGUCAAACAAAUAGUAUUCAUGAAUGUCAAAAAUUGUUCCCAGAUUUCAAAAACUAUUUCUUGUCAAAAAUUAUUCAGCAAUUCAAAUGUCCAUGAGUUUUAAAACAAUGUUUACAAUUUUAAAAAAUUCUUAGAUAUAAAAAAAUGUUUGUGAAUUCAAAAAAUAUUCAAGAUUAAAUUAAAUUCAUGAAUUUUUAAACAUGUUCAUGAAUUUGAAAAAUAAUCACAACAAAACAAUGUUCAUGCAAUUGGAAAAUGCUCACAAUUUAAAUAAUGUUAAAAAUCAUUAAAAAGUUCAUAAAUUUGAAAAUAAGUUCAAAAAAUGAAAGACUGAAAAAAGAAAAGAAAAACUGACAUCAAAAUAGGAAAAUAUAAAUAAGGUAAAAACGAAAACGAAAAAUAGAAAUGAAAUAAUGAAAAUGAAAAAACAAAAAUAACCCGAAAGGAAAAAACUGGUAUGGAAAGGUUCUAGAACGUUCCCAAAACCGAAAAGGAGGUACUUGGGCCGCCCCAAAAUGUGUACCUAGUGGGAGGGGCGUAUGCGCUAGGAUUAGCCCCCUAAAAAGCUUCACAACUUUUGAGCAGAUCAAUGGUCUAGAUUAAAACAUGUCCUUUACUUUAGAAGGGGUAAUAUAAAAAAUUCACAUUAUAAAAACACUUGCAAUAAAAAAGAUAACGGGCGCUCUAGAAACCCAUGGCGGCUAGUGCGACUUGUUUGGAGCUAUUCGUCUCCUUCCCAACCCUUAUCCACUACCCCGGUCGUCCAUGUAUCUGUCAAAAGUGUUAGAUGAAGGAAAUAUGCCCUAUAGGCAAUAAUAAAGUUAUUAUUUAUUUCCUUAUUUCAUGAUAAAUGUUUAUUAUUCAUGCUAGAUUUGUAUUAACCGGAAACAUAAUACAUGUGUGAAUACAUAGACAAACAUAGUGUCACUAGUAUGCCUCUACUUGACUAGCCCGUUAAUCAAAGAUGGUUAAGUUUCCUAACCAUAGACAUGAGUUGUCAUUUGAUUAACGAGAGCACAUCAUUAGGAGAAUGAUAUGAUUGACUUGACCCAUUCCGUUAGCUUAGCACUUGAUCGUUUAGUAUUCUGCUAUUGCUUUCUUCAUGACUUAUACAUGUUCCUAUGACUAUGAGAUUAUGCAACUCCCGUUUACCGGAGGAACACUUUGUGUGCUAUCAAACGUGACAACGUAACUGGGUGAUUAUAAAGGUGCUCUACAGGUGUCUCCGAAGGUACUUGUUGGGUUGGCGUAUUUCGAGAUUAGGAUUUGUCACUCCGAUUGCCGGAGAGGUAUCUCUGGCCCACUCGGUAAUACACAUCACUUAAGCCUUGCAAGCAUUGCAACUAAUGAGUUAGUUGCGGGAUGAUGUGUUAUGGAACGAGUAAAGAGACUUGCCGGUAACGAAAUUGAACUAGGUAUUGAGAUACGGACGAUCGAAUCUCGGGCAAGUAACAUACCGAUGGCAAAGGGAACAACGUAUGUUGUUAUGCGGUUUGACCGAUAAAGAUCUUCGUAGAAUAUGUAGGAGCCAAUAUGAGCAUCCAUGUUCCGCUAUUGGUUACUGACCGGAGACGUGUCUCGGUCAUGUCUACAUAGUUCUCGAACCCGUAGGGUCCGCACGCUUAAAGUUCGAUGACGGUUAUAUUAUGAGUUUAUGGUUUUUGAUGUACCGAAGGUAAUUCGGAGUCCUGGAUGUGAUCACGGACAAGACGAGGAGUCUCGAAAUGUUUGAUACGUAAAGAUCAAUAUAUUGGACGACUAUAUUUGGAUAUCGGAAUGGUUCCGGGUGAGAUCAGGAUAAUACCGGAGCACCGGGAGGUUAUUGGAACCCUCCCCCCCGGAGGUAUAUGGGCCUUAAUGGGCUUUAGUGGAAAGGAGGGAAAAGGAGCAAGGGAGGGGGCGCCCCCCCCCCCCCCAAGCCCAAUCCGAAUAGGGAAGGGGGCCACCCCCCUUUCCUUCCUCCCUCCUUCCUCUUCCUUCCCUCCCCCUCUCCAAAUAGGAAAAGGAGGAGUCCUACUCCCGAUGGGAGUAGGACUCCCCCCUUGGGCGCGCCUCCUCCCCUUGACCAGCCCUCUCCUCCCCUCCUUUAUAUACGGAGGAGAGGGGCACCCCAUAGACAGAACAAUUGAUCUCUUGGAUCUUUUAGCCGUGUGCGGUGCCCCUCUCCACCAUAGUCCACCUCGAUAAUAUCGUAGCGGUGCUUAGGCGAAGCCCUGCGACGGUAGAACAACAUCGUCACCACGCCCUCGUGCUGAUAGAACUCUCCCUCACAGCUCGGCUGGAUAGGAGUUCGAGGGAUGAAACCGAGUUGAACGUGUGCAGAACUCGGAGGUGCCGUGCGUUCGGUACUUGAUCGGUCGGAUCGUGAAGACAUACGACUACAUCAACCGCGUUGUGCUAAUGCUUCCGCUUUCGGUCUACAAGGGUACGCGGACACACUCUCCCCUCUCGUUGCUAUGCAUCACCAUGAUCUUGCAUGUGCGUAGGAAAUUUUUUGAAAUUACUACGUUACCCAACAGUGGUAUCAGAGCCAGGUUUUAUGCGUUGAUGUUAUAUGCACGAGUAGAAAACAAGUGAGUUGUGGGCGAUACAAGUCAUACUGCUUACCAGCAUGUCAUACUUUGGUUCGGCGGUAUUGUUGGAUGAAGCGGCCCGGACCGACAUUACGCGUACGCUUACGCGAGACUGGUUCUACCGACGUGCUUUGCACACAAGUGGCUGGCGGGUGUCAGUUUCUUCAACUUUAGUUGAACCGAGUGUGGCUACGCCCGGUCCUUGAGAAGGUUAAAACAGCACUAACCUGACGAACUAUCGUUGUGGUUUUGAUGCGUAGGUAAGAACGGUUCUUGCUCAGCCCGUAGCAGCCACGUAAAACUUGCAACAACAAAGUAGAGAACGUCUAACUUGUUUUUGCAGGGCAUGUUGUGAUGUGAUAUGGUCAAGACAUGAUGCUAUAUUUUAUUAUAUGAGAUGAUCAUGUUUUGUAAUCGAGUUAUCGGCAACUGGCAAGAGCCAUAUGGUUAUCGCUUUAUUGUAUGCAAUGCAAUCGCCCUGUAAUUGCUCUACUUUAUCACUAGGCGGUAGCGAUAGUCAUAGAAGCAAUAGUUGGCGAGACGACAAUGAUGCUACGAUGGAGAUCAAGGUGUCGCACUGGUGACGAUGGUGAUCAUGACGGUGCUUCGGAGAUUGAGAUCACAAGCACAAGAUGAUGAUGGCCAUAUCAUAUCACUUAUAUUGAUUGCAUGUGAUGUUUAUCUUUUAUGCAUCUUAUUUUGCUUUGAUUGACGGUAGCAUUAUAAGAUGAUCUCUCACUAAAUUUCAAGAUAAAAGUAUUCUCCCUGAGUAUGCACCGUUGCCAAAGUUCGUCGUGCCCAGACACCAUGUGAUGAUCGGGUAUGAUAAGCUCUAUGUCCAUCUACAACGGGUGCAAGCCAGUUUUGCACACGCAGAAUACUCAGGUUAAACUUGACGAGCCUAGCAUAUGCAGAUAUGGCCUUGGAACACCGAGACCGAAAAGUCGAGCUUGAAUCAUAUAGUACAUAUGAUCAACAUAAUGAUGUUCACCAUUGAAAACUACUCCAUUUCACGUGAUGAUCAGUUAUGGUUUAGUUGAUUUGGAUCACAUGAUCACUUAGAUGAUUAGAGAGAUGUCUAUCUAAGUGGGAGUUCUUAAAGUAAUAUGGUUAAUUGGACUUUAAUUUAUCUUGAACUUAGUCCUGGUAGUAUUAGCAUAUCUAUGUUGUAUAUCAAUAGCUCGCGUUUAGCUCCCCUGUUUUAUUUUUGAUAUGUUCCUAGAGAAAACUAAGUUGAAAGAUGUUAAUAGCAAUGAUGCGGAUUGGAUCCGUGAUCUGAGGAUUAUCCUCACUGUUGCACAGAAAUAUUAUGUCCUUGAUGCACCGCUAGGUCACAGACCUAUUGCAGGAGCAGAUGCUGACGUUAUGAACAUUUUGACAAAAGCUCGGUAUGAUGACUACUUGAUAGUUUAGUGCACCAUGCUUUACGACUUAGAACCGGGACUUCAAAAAUGUUUUGAACGCCACGGAGCAUAUAAGAUAUUCCAAGAAUUGAAAUUGGUAUUUCAUACUCAUGCCAGUGUCGAGAGGUAUGAGACCUCUGACAUUACUUUGCCUACAAGAUGGAGGAGAAUAGCUCAACCAGUAAGCAUGUGCUCAGAUUGUCUGAGUACUACAAUCACUUGAAUCAAGUGGGAGUUAAUCUUCUAGAUAAUAUAGUGAUUGACAGAGUUCUCUAGUCACUAUCACCAAGUUGUUAGAACUUCAUGAUGAACUAUAAUAUGCAAGGGAUAACGGAAACGAUUCCCAAGCUCUUCAUGAUGCUGAAAUCGACGAAGGUAAAAAUCAAGAAAAGCAUCAAGUGUUGAUGGUUAACAAGACCACUAUUUUCAAGAAAAGGGCAAAUGGAAUAAGGGGAAUUUCAAGAAGAACGGCAAGCAAGUUGCUGCUCAAGUGAAGAAGCCCAAAUCUAGACCUAAGCCUGAGACUAAGUGCUUUUACUGCAAAGGGACUAGUCACUGGAAGUGGAACUGCCCCAAGUAUUUGGCAGAUAAGAAGGAUGGCAAAGUGAACAAAGGUAUAUUGGAUAUACAUGUUAUUGAUGUGUACUUUACUAGUGUUUAUAGCAACCCCUCAGUAUUUGAUACUAGUUCAGUUGCUAAGAGUAGUAACUUGAAAUGGUAGUUGGACAAUGAACAGAGACUAGUUAAGGGUGGAGCAACGAUGUGUGUUGGAAGUAGUUCCAAGAAUGAUAUGAUCGUCAUCGCACACUCCCUAUACUUUCAGGAUUAGUGUUGAACCUAAAUAAGUGUUAUUUGGUGUUUUCGUUGAGCAUGAAUAUGAUUUGAUCAUGUUUAUUGCAAUACGGUUAUUCAUUUAAGUUAGAGAAUAAUUGUUAUUCUGUUUACAUGAAUAAAACCUUCUAUGGUUAUACACCCAAUGAAAAUGGUUUGUUGAAUCUUGAUUGUAGUGAUACACAUAUUCAUAAUAUUGAAGCCAAAAGAUGCAAAGUUAAUAAUGAUAGUGCAACUUAUUUGUGGCACUGUCGUUUAGGUCAUAUUGGUGUAAAGCGCAUGAAGAAAAUCCAUGCUGAUGGGCUUUUGGAAUCACUUGAAUAUAAAUCAGUUGAUGCUUGCGAACCAUGCCUCAAGGGUAAAGAGGACUAAGACUCCGUUCUCCAGAACAAUGGAGCGAGGAACUGACUUAUUGGAUAUAAUACAUACUGAUGUAUGAGGUCCGAUGAGUGUUGAGGCUCGCGGCGGGUAUCGUUAUUUUCUGACCUUCACAGAUAAUUUGAGCAGAUAUGGGUAUAUCUACUUGAAGAAACAUAAGUCCGAAACAUUUGAAAAGUUUAAAGAAUUUCAGAGUGAAGUGGAAAAUCAUCGUAACAAGAAAAUAAAGUUUCUACGAUCUGAUCGUAGAGGCAAAUAUUUGAGUUACGAGUUUGGUCUUCAAUUAAAACAAUAUGGAAUAGUUUCACAAACUCAUGCCACCUGGAACACCAUAGCGUAAUGGUGUGUCCGAAAGUCAUAACUGUGCUUUAUUUGAUAUAGUGCAAUCUAUGAUGUCUCAUACCGAUUUACCACUAUCAUUUUGGGGUUAUGCAUUAGAGAUAGCUGCAUUCACAUUAAAAAGGGCACCAUCUAAAUCUGUUGAGAUAACACCGUAUGAACUGUGGUUUAGCAAGAAACCUAAGGUGUCGUUUCUUAAAGUUUGGGGUUGCGAUGCUUAUGUGAAAAAGGUUUAUCUUGAUAAGCUCAAACCCAAAUCGAAGAAGUGCGUCUUCAUAGGAUACCCAAAAGUAACUGUUGGGUACACCUUCUAUCACAGAUCCGAAGGCAAGAUAUUUGCUGCUGAGAAUAGAUCCUUUCUAGAGAAGGAGUUUCUCUCGAAAGAAGUGAGUGGGAGGAAAGUAGAACUUGAUGAGGUAACUGUACCUGCUCCCUUAUUGGAAAGUAGUUCAUCACAGAAAUCUGUUUCUGUGACUCCUACACCAAUUAGUGAGGAAACUAAUGAUGAUGAUCAUGUAACUUCAGAUCAAGUUAUUACCAAACCUCUUAGGUCAACCAGAGUGAGAUCCGCACCAGAGUGGUACGGUAAUCCUGUUCUGGAGGUCACGUUAAUUGACCAUGACGAACCUACGAACUAUGAGGAAGCGAUGAUGAGCCCAGAUUCCGCGAAAUGGCUUGAGGCAUGAAAUCUAAUAUGGGAUCCAUGUAUGAGAACAAAGUGUGGACUUUGGUUAACUUGCCCGAUGAUCGGCAAGCCAUAGAAAAUAAAUGGAUCUUCAAGAGGAAGACGGACAGUGAUAGUAGUGUUGCUAUCUACAAAGCUCGAAUUGUCGCAAAAUGUUUUCGACAAGUUCAAGGUGUUGACUACGAUGAGAUUUUCUCACUCGUAUCGAUGCUUAAGUCCGUCCGAAUCAUGUUAGCAAUUGCCGCAUUUUAUGAUUAUGAAAUUUGGCAAAUGGAUGUAAAGACUGCAUUCCUGAAUGGAUUUCUGGAAGAAGAGUUGUAUAUGAUGCAACCUGAAGGUUUUGUCGAUCCUAAAGGUGCUAACAAAGUGAGCAACCUCCAGCGAUCCAUCAAUGGACUGGUGCAAGCUUCUCGAAGUUGGAAUAAACGUUUUGAUAGUGUGAUCAAAGCAUAUGGUUUUAUACAGACUUGCGGUGAAGCCUGUAUUUACAAGAAAGUGAGUGGGAGCACUACAACAUUUCUAAUAAGAAGUGUGAAUGACAUAUUGUUGAUCGGAAAUAAUGUAGAAUUUUCUGGAAAGCAUAAAGAAGUAUUUGAAAUGAGUUUCUCAAAUAAAGACCUCGAUGAAGCUACUUACAUAUUGAGCAUCAAGAUCUAUAGAGAUAGAUCAAGACGCUUGAUAAGUUUUUUCAAUGAGUGCAUACCUUGACAAGAUUUUGAAGUAGUUCAAAAUGGAACAGUCAAAGAAAGAGAUCUUACCUGUGUUACAAGGUGUGAAAUUGAGUAAGACUCAAAGCCCGACCACGGCAGAAGAUAGAAAGAGAAUGAAAGUCAUUCCCUAUGCCUCAACCAUAGUUUCUAUAAAGUAUGCCAUGCUGUGUACCAGAUCUAUUGUAUACCCUACACUGAGUUUAGCAAUGGAAUACAAUAGUGAUCUAGGAGUAGAUCACUGGAUAGCGGUCAAAAUUAUCCUUAGUGGAAUAAGGAAAUAUUUCUCGACUAUGGAGGUGAUAAAAGAGUUCGUCGUAAAGAGUUACGUCGAUGCAAGCUUUUUACAUCGAUCUAGAUGACUCUAAGUCUCGAUCUGGAUACAUAUUAAAAGUGGGAGCAAUUAGCUAGAGUAGCUCCAUGCAAAGCAUUGUUGACACAGAAAUUUUCAAAAUACAUAUGGAUCUGAAUGUGGCAGACCCGUAGACUAAACUUCUCUCACAAGUAAAACAUGAUCACACCUUAGUACUCUUUGGGUGUUAAUCGCAUAGCGAUGUGAACUAGAUUAUUGACUCUAGUAAACCCUUUGGGUGUUGAUCACAUGACGAUGUGAACUAUGGGUGUUAAUCACAUGGUGAUGUGAACUAUUGGUGUUAAAUCACAUGGCGAUGUGAACUAGAUUAUUGACUCUAGUGCAAGUGGGAGACUGAAGGAAAUAUGCCCUAGAGCCAAUAAUAAAGUUAUUAUUUAUUUCCUUAUUUCAUGAUAAAUGUUUAUUAUUCAUGCUAGAUUUGUAUUAACCGGAAACAUAAUACAUGUGUGAAUACAUAGACAAACAUAGUGUCACUAGUAUGCCUCUACUUGACUAGCUCGCUAAUCAAAGAUGGUUAAGUUUCCUAACCAUAGACAUGAGUUGUCAUUUGAUUAACGGGAUCACAUCAUUAGGAGAAUGAUAUGAUUGACUUGACCCAUUCCGUUAGCUUAGCACUUGAUCGUUUAGUAUUCUGCUAUUGCUUUCUUCAUGACUUAUACAUGUUCCUAUGACUAUGAGAUUAUGCAACUCCCGUUUACCAGAGGAACACUUUGUGUGCUACCAAACGUCACAACGUAACAGGGUGAUUAUAAAGGUGCUCUACAGGUGUCUCCGAAGUUACUUGUUGGGUUGGCGUAUUUCGAGAUUAGGAUUUGUCACUCCGAUUGUCGGAGAGGUAUCUCUGGCCCCUCGGUAAUACACAUCACUUAAGCCUUGCAAGCAUUGCAACUAAUGAGUUAGUUGCGGGAUAAUGUGUUAUGGAACGAGUAAAGAGACUUGCCAGUAACGAGAUUGAACUAGGUAUUGAGAUACCGACGAUCGAAUCUCGGGCAAGUAACAUACCGAUGGCAAAGGGAACAACGUAUGUUGUUAUGCGGUUUGACCGAUAAAGAUCUUCGUAGAAUAUGUAGGAGCUAAUAUGAGCAUCCAUGUUCCGCUAUUGGUUAUUGAACGGAGACGUGUCUCAGUCAUGUCUACAUAGUUCUCGAACCCGUAGGGUCCGCACGCUUAAAGUUCGAUGACGGCUAUAUUUUGAGUUUAUGGUUUUUGAUGAACCGAAGGUAAUUCAGAGUCCUGGAUGUGAUCACGGACAAGACGAGGAGUCUCGAAAUGUUCGAGACGUAAAGAUCGAUAUAUUGGACGACUAUAUUUGGAUACCAGAAUGGUUCCGGGUGAGAUCGGGAUAAUACCGGAGCACCGGGAGGUUAUCGGACCCCCCCGGAGGUAUAUGGGCCUUAAUGGGCUUUAGUGGAAAGGAGGUAAAAGGAGAAAGGGAGGGGGCGCCCCCCCCCCCCCAAGCCCAACCCGAACUGGGAAGCCCCCCCCCUUUCCUUCCUCCCUCCUUCCUCUUCCUUCCCUCUCCCUCUCCAAAUAGGAAAAGGAGGAGUCCUACUCCCGGUGGGAGUAGGACUCCCCCCUUGGGCGCACCUCCUCCCCUUGGCCGGCCCUCUCCUCCCCUCCUUUAUAUACGGAGGAGAGGGGCACCCCAUAGACACAACAAUUUAUCUCUUGGAUCUUUUUGCUGUGUGCGGUGCCCCUCUCCACCAUAGUCCACCUCGAUAAUAUUGUAGCGGUACUUAGGCGAAGCCCUGUGACGGUAGAACAUCAACAUCGUCACCACGCCGUUGUGCUGAAGGAACUCUCCCUCAAAGCUCGGCUGGAUCGGAGUUUGAGGGACGUCAUCGAGUUGAACGUGUGCAGAACUCAGAGGUGCCGUGCGUUCGGUACUUGAUCGGUCGGAUCGUGAAGACAUACGACUACAUCAACCGCAUUGUGCUAAUGCUUUCGCUUGCGGUCUACAAGGGUACACGGACACACUCUCCCCUCUCGUUGUUAUGCAUCACCAUGAUCUUGCGUGUGCGUAGGAUUUCUUUUUAAAUUACUAUGUUACCCAACAUUAGACUCCUCCACUUUAUCUUACUCCUCACAUUCCCAUCAUCCGACAUAGUAUGACGACAUCUCAGCCCCUUGUAUUCACAUCACACGGUGUUCAAAUCGCACGAGCCACGAGGCCUUGUUUUUUAAACAGAAGUGGUGUACCCAAGCACCCCUAAUGAAAUUGGCGUUCCCUUGAUCCAAAGAAAAAAAGAGUAAAAAGAAACCAAACACUCCCCCCCCCACAUACACCUCCAGCGUUCCUAUGCACCGAAUUGUACACAACCAAUAGUUUCUACAUUGCUACACAUGAAUGAUGCUUACAGUUGAAAUAAAAGGCAACUCAUUGUCGCUUACAACUAAAUAGCAAAAGGAUACUAGGAGUAGAGUUUGACAUAGGCUAGAGUAAGUGCAUUAUAUAUCCUUAUUUCUGUUUCGCAAUUUUUUUUCCUUAUUUCUAGUGUGUGAUUGCCACCCAAGAUUGCAAUAGAACACCAGGUCAACUGACAAUCCAAUCCCUGGUGUUCUAUUAUAUGUCGAGUUAAAUACUAAAAAGUGCUACUAGGAGUAGAGUAUGAGAUGAACGAGAGUAAGUGCAUUAUGUAUAUCCUCAAUUAUAGUGUGCGGUCACCACCCAAGAUUGCAACAGAACACCAAUUUGGCUGACGAAACCAAUCUAGUCCAAUCGCUUAUUGAACUAAAAGUCGGUAUAUGUACUUAGGAGUUGCCUAACUAAAGCAUGCGGUUCAACUUGAUAGAUCUAGUAAGAUUCAACUCGAUAAUCGUUUAAUUCCUAAUGGUUUCUAUAAAAAAUAGUUACAAUAACUAACUCAAACGAAAUAUAAGCGAACAAUCAAACAUCGACCGGCUCACAUGGCUUCCAAAUAAAACUAAUUAACAGAUCGAGUAAUACAUUGUUUAUUCCUUGCUCUUAAUAUGAGGUUAUACAUAACAUAUUUUGGUCCAUCCUGAAGUAAGUAUUACGUAACAAGUACUAGCUAGUAUUUCAGUCUCUACUAGCAAAUGUUGCAAUAGCAAACAGCCUUGAUGGCGUUCUUCUUAUCACAGUGGUAGUCCUUGAGGCUGCCCUUCCUAUCACGUGCAAACACGUCACACGUGGCCUUGCAUAGAGGCUUGGUGCAGAAAAACUCCCCGCCGUCGUCAACGACCGCGAAAUUGUGCUGCACAACACCAAGAAAACACAAACCAUUAUAUUAGAAUAUUAGCGACAAACCCCCAUUAGAUUAGAUUAUACGUAUUUGACAAACACAAUUAAACACACCUGCAGAAAUAGGAGUACCCACAAGUGUUAGCACCACGAGGAAGCAAACAAUAGCAGCCCGUGUGUCCAUCCCAAGAGUUCUCUCCUUUUUUGAACUAGAAGGAAAAAUAUGUGUUCUCUUCGUCUAUUUUAAUUUGGCUAUGGGACUAAUGUUUAUGUCUUGAAGUGCUUGGAGUGUUGUCUUAUAUAGACUUAUUGAAAGGGACAAAAAUAAAAGCAUUUAAAUGAUUGUUAAACUUAGCAAAAGAGAUAGAGGUGAGUCACACCCCAAAAAUGGAAGCACUUAAUGCUGGGUGAGAAAUUAAAUGACGAAGGCAAAGAAUAUAUGAGUGAUGUUUAUCCAAUAAUCAAGGCUUUAAUUUUCGACUACAAAAUAAGCAUGACCAUUCAAAAAAUGGAGUCAUCUUUUUGUCGCUGGUGACAUUGAUCAAACAUGGUUUUUUAUAAAAAAAAAUGUAUAGCCACUUUAAUUGCAAACACCAUUGUGCAUUGAAAUUCAGUUGACUUCAACAAAACAAUCAAUAUGAAUUGCAUGCUUGAUAUGUAACCAACUAAAACUAAAAUUGUAUGUUGUCUCGAGUUGACUAAAUCACCAUUUUUGGCUAGACAAUGUUUAAAACUGUGUCAACUGUGUCAAUUUGCACGGCGCCUGGGACAAUGCAAUGUCAAAUCUUGCACUAUUUUAAACCACCACAAGAUAAGCAAGCUGAGUUGGCCCGGGCCUCUUGCCAGACGCUGGCAUCCACCUCGAAAUCUAUAUCAAUAUAUUUUUUGUAUCACAUGAAUCAUAUAGUAUUGGUCUAAAAUAUAUUUUCUCUUGUUGCAAAAUAUGAAAGAAAAAUCGGCACAACAAUAUUAUAUAGACCCAUCGCAACAAUAGCAUGCUUCACAGUCGGUGGGUCCCAUGUAAAGACAUUUGGAAAUACCUCAAAAAUGCAUAUGUGUACUAUUUAUUAUUGUCCAAGAAUUUCACAUGCUCACUCACAACAAACUGUUGAAGAAUUCCGUGCAACUUAGAAACUAACGUAUGCAACAACGCGAGCACAACAUUUGUGUUAGGACUAACAAAAUUACAUUACAUUGUAGCAUGUCACACAUGUGUAUGUAGUAUGACGCAAAUGAGUUCACAGCAUACCAAAACAACGAAUGGUAACUACAAAAAAUUCCCAUAAAUCUAACAUUUUACAACCAAAAAAUUUGGUGGGCACUGACCUCACCUCAUCAAACUUGCUCUAAUAUUCUAGUUAGUGUAGAGUUUUGGAUUAAGCUAAAGUUGCUCUAGUAUUAUGCCACAACAAAAAGGAAAGAAAUGGGGGAAAACAAAGAAGAGCGGAGCAGGGUGGCUUACUCGGAUCUAAGUCGGCCAAUAUCAAUCGCAUUGCCCUCCUAAAUCCUGAUUACUCAAGCCAGCCCAAAAUUGAGGGGCUACUAAAAUAGAAGUUGAGCCUAUGGUGCAAGAACAGAAAAGCCAUUGGAUUGGAUAUGGAUAGCACAUGAUCUGGUGGAGCGAUCUCAGGCCACUUUUUGUAUAUUUUAUGAAAAAACCCUAUUAACAGUUAGGUACAAAACAAAACAUUCGCAGUGACCACCUUAAGUAUCUCAUCUCCCAAUCCAAUAGUGGAGUUAACGACCAUUUACAGAUUUCAGGUUUUUUCCAGCGACCAUUUAUAGAAUUUGCACAACCUCAUAUCCUAUCAGUUUUAUAAAAUAUAUUUUCACAUACCGAGCACAAAUAUAUGGUUGUAAGAAUGAAGAACUCAUACUCAUGCUUGUUUUAAUUCUAGUAUUUACACCCCUAAGGUUGUUAAGGUCCGGUUACAAAAACUCGAAUUUAAUUCUCUUAUAAGAACUUGUUAGAGUCCUGUCAUAGUGCACAUCCUCUCGUGGAUUCGAUAACUCAAGGUUGCUCCUUCGGGAAAAGGGAGGGAAACCUUUGUUGUCCAAACCGGAUCUCAAAGAGCACCACCCAUCUCUCACCCUACUCGAUGAUACAACAUCGACGACCAGGUACGUGUGUAACCAACCGUCUGCUCCCUCGCUCUGUCACUGUGGUGCUAUUCAUUACAUCAAGUCGGGACCCAUUUCCUUCCUUUUGAGGUUAACAAUUAAGGUUUCUAGUCUAUAUGAGGGCCUUCGGAUUCAACUUAUAAGAAUGUUAGUUCAAAUUUAAUGAUGAUUAUUUCAAGUGGAUGGUUAUGUGAACUAGGUUGGUAGAGUGGUGGCCGACCACUGUUGCGGCGGACUUCAGGGAUGUUUGAUCUAUCCACCUGGCUUGAUCAAGCAGCGUCGACAUUUGUGCAUCAUUAUUUUGUUGAAUAUGUUCGUUCGAUUUGCUUGUUGCAGGGGUGAUAGCCUCUGGUCCGACGUUUGGUUACACGAGACAAUAAGCUCCCCUUGCAAAAGUGUAUGAUGUGGGAAUUACGUGUUGUACUCCUCAGGUGCAAACGCACGUAUAUAUGAUGUACAGGAGUAGGCCACGACCUCAAUUAUACAAGGCAACUAGGAGGUGGGCCCAAUACACAAAUAUGCACAACAAAGACUGGACCGGAACUCCUCAAAAUGAUGCCGUAGGCAAGUCCUUGGUCAUGGUAUAUGCAAAUUGUUGGGAAGUAGGGACGUGUAAAACACGAAUAUGGCCAAGGGCCACCUAUUCCCGAACAAAAUGAAUAUCCAACUCAAUAUGCUUGGUCCGUCGAUGAUGCACCGGGUUAGCGGAGAGGUAGACUGCCGAGACGUUGUCGCAAUAGACCACCGUGGCACGGUCAACAGGGAAAGAGAGCUCCUGAAGCAGCUGGCGAAGCCACGAACACUCGGCGACGGUGUUGGCCACCGCAGGAUACUCAGCCUCAGCGUUGGAACGAGAGACCGUAGGCUGCCGCGUGGAUGACCACGAGAUAAGUGAGGGUCCAAGGUAGACACAAUAGCCCGAGGUGGAGCGACGAGUUUUAGGGCAGCCCGCCCAGUCUGCAUUGAAGUAGGCGGCGAGGGCAGUGUCGGCGGAGGCAUGAAGCGUGACACCAAGAUCCAUAGUGCCACAGACAUAGCGGAGAAUCCGUUUGACAACGGCCCAGUGCAUCUCGAGGAGCAUGCAUAUGAAGACACACCUGCUGCACGACAUACUGGAUCUCUGGUUGAGUUAAAGUGAGGUACUGAAGAGCACCAACAAUAGACCGAUAAAAAGCAGCAUCCGAAGCAGGAGAACCAUCCGUGGCAGAAAGCUUGGCCUUUGUAUAAACAGGCGUAGCAGCGGGCUUGUAGUUAAGCAUGUUGGCCCGCUCCAGGAGCUCAUGAGCAUACUUCCGCUGAUGAAAGAAGAAGCCAUCCGGACGGCACACCACCUCGACACCGAGGAAGUUGUGCAAAGGACCCAAGUCCUUGAUGGCAAACUCAGCGCGAAGACGAGCCAUGAGCUGACCGAGGAGACCAACCAUACAUGCCGUCAGGAUGACGUCGUCGACAUAGAGCAGAAAGUAGGCCGUGUUAGAGCCCUGAUGAUAGACGAAGAGCGAGGCGUCCGAGCGGGUGGAGCGGAACCCAAGCUGGUGGAGAAACGCUGCGAUGCGCUGGUACCAAGCACGCAGAGCCUUCUUAAGUUCAUACAAGGACCGCGAAAGCAGGCACACGUGGUCGGGAAGCGCCGGGUCAACAAACCCGGUGUGCUGCUGGCAGAAGACCUGCUACUCCAGGUGACCAUGGAGCAAGGCGUUGGAGACGUCCAUCUGGUGCACCGGCCAAGCACGGGAGACUGCAAGGUGGAGAACCGUGUGUAUCGUGUCGGGCUUGACGACCAGAGCGAAGGUGUCGAUGAAGUCGAUGCCAGCACGCUGUCGGAAGCCACGAACGACCCAACGCGGUUUGUAGCGAUCAAAGGUACCAUCGGGACGGAGGUUGUGUUUGAAGACCCACUUCCCGGUAAUCACGUUGGCGUGCUGAGGACAGGAAACAAACAUAGAAGAUUUGACUUUAGAAAAAAAAUAGUACAACUUAUCUAUACCUAAUAUUAAAGGACGGAGAUUUUUAUAGUUCUCCAUACAUCUAACUUUAUUAAUAGUCUUCAUCGGCCCACCGGAGCAAGACAAUAAGUAGGCCUGGAAACACUCGAUUCAAUGGGCCUGAAAAAUAAACGGGCAUGCAUCCUCUCUCGCUCAUCUCUCUCCUCUCGAACCCCUCAUAAAAAAUUUCUCUCCUCUCGAUCCCUUCGCUCUCUACUACGAGCGCUCCUGGGGCAGACAUGUUCUCCCUUCUCUCUACCGCUGCGGAUGGCCCAACUUGACUCCGAGACGAACUCUGCUCGAGCACGCACCCAUAGGGUGUCCCGACAGGUUCUUUGCGGUUCCGCAGGCUGGUCUAGGAACAUAUAGAAACAAAUUGACGCCAUCAAACGAAGCCCCAGCUCAAUUGCCUGGUUGCGGAGUGCGGCGGCAUGUCGAGCCGAACGCCGGCAAGAUCAUACAGGAUGAGGCAGUAGAUGCCAACGAUAGUGUGCGUCACCCAACUCGACGCAGGCGAGGAAGAUGAGCAGGACGGCGUUGGAGCUCAGCAGGGCGCCGACGAGAACGUACGGGAAGAGGCGGUAGACGCCGAUGGCGGUGUAGGUAACCCACCCAGCUCGACGAAGGUGAGGAAGAUGAGUAGGACGGGGGGUAGCCGGGGAUUUGAAGAGGACUCGGAAGGGCUACACGAGCAUGACCAGGUCGUCACUGAAUCGGAUCCGUCACCUCAUGCGGCUGAGCUGUUAGAGGACGAUGCAGAGGCUCUGGUCAAAGGCGACCAUGAUGGAUGUGUCACCGCCGGCCACGCGAUAGAGGAAGAAGGUGAGGCUCAAGAGCCGGCCAGCCGAGUGGACGUGCCGGUGCAGUUGUGACCGCUCGGGAGGUUGAAGGCAAGCGAGGGAGCUCAUGCGGCGACGUCGGCAAGGCUCGGUGGCGAGAUAGCGCAGAAGAGCGGUGCAGCGGAGCGACAACCACGAUGCUAGGGCGUUGCGGAGAGAAAGGAUGAAGAGAGAUAGGGCAAGGGAGUCCUACUGCUGGUGGAGGCACGCAGGAGGAGCUCGAGCAUCAGUUGGCGGGCGAAGCAAGGAGUCGCAGGGCUUUCCAGCGACUAUGAUGGUGCGGGUUGAUCUGGGGAGGCUGGGAGAGCUGCCUCCUAGGGGCGCUGGUUCGGGUUGACGUGUGCGUCAUGUGCACUGCUACAAAAUUGCUGGAUAUGUGUAUCUAUAUGUGUGCGGCUGCGAUUUGAAAGUCGUAGCAAUGCACAGGCUUAUAAUUAAAUAAUUAUAUAUCUUUACUUGUUCAGUAGCAACACAUGCUAGCAAGCAGCAGAGACAGUAUACUAUGUUGGCGAUCAUUUGGCGAGCGAGCAGUUGAAUUGCUGCUGGCAUGCAUUGUGCAGGGGCAUGUUCGCUUGGGUCUUGGGACGAAAUCGACUGAGUCAAUAAAUAAUUUUUUAAAAGGAUAUUAGACCCUCGGCCUCUGCAUCAUUCAUUAUGAUGCACACAAAUAUUUUUAGCAAAGUUAGCCAUGGGUCGAACCAUUAGAUAUCAAAUAGACAUCUACAACUAAGUCGACUUCUGCUGCAACAUCUCUUCAAGAAGGGAUAAACUUUCUCGCCAUCGACCGAAACAAUCCGUAAGAAGAAGAAAAUGAUCACACAUGUGAAACAUAAUUGUCAAUACAAAUACAUGACACAUGGUGGUACGAACACACAUCACGAUGGAAGAAUACCAGCAACUUAAAAGCAAGCCUACAUCAAAUCUAUAUUUCAUUAGUAUUUAGUCCAUAUUUUUAUUUCUAUCAACCUAAACUCCAAUUACGUUAAAAUUUAGGUUUGAACUGCAGAUAUGAGAUUUCGAAUUUAAAGAUUGAACGUAUAUUUAAAGUUCUCAUAGUAUGUGUCUAUUUUUUGGGGUGUCUUUUUACUCGAUAGGAAUCCAAUUCAAUGCUCAAAAUCAAAUAACAAGAUUAUUGCUACAUAUUUUGAUAAAGCUAAAUUUUACUUGAAUUUUGGAUGUAGUUUAGACAAAUAAUUCUCACUAAAUCUUACUAUGGGCCAAUUUUUCUCUACCGUUGCAACACACCGGAUCGAGAGUUUCCAAGAAAACAUUGUCAGUCAGAUGCAUUUACUCCAGAUCAUAACUCAUGUCCUAAGCUUCACGUCGUGAUCCUCAAAUCAUGCAUCUUUUUAUUUUCUCAUCAUCAACCGUUGUGACAUGACACAGUUCCUCGACCUGGCCAACCAUGGUUCAUAGGAACUGGUAUAUUUCUCCCGCUGCAACGCACGGGCAUUCGUGCUAGUAUUUUGAAACGGGAGUUAGUAGGUACACCAAUAAUUCGAUAUACCCACAAAAUGCUGGCUCUAGUUCCUUUCAUGGCUCCUUUGAUGUAAGAAAGAUGCUAGUAGUGACUAGAGACAAAGGGAAUCAAAUUAUGGGAGGAGGCGGCCCUAUCUAUAUUCCUCUUCUCCAAGCGGUAGCUCCCGUCCAUCCUUUGCCAAAAGUGGAGCAUCUCUCAUUUCCUUCUUCAUCUUCUCCUCCUCCUCCUUUCUUGAUGCUCACUCGCCUAUAAAUAGCUCUCGCUGCCUGCCAUUGUUACUCAAGCUAGCAAGCAAGAAGCACAAAAGAAGCCAACACCAAUCAAGGCCUCCAUCCAAUCCCAAGCAACCUCGAAGAUGUCUUGCUGCGGAGGAAGCUGCGGCAGCGCCUGCAAGUGCGGCAACGGCUGCGGCGGCUGCAACAUGUACCCCGAGGUCGAGGCCGCCGGCGCCACCCUCCUCGUCGCCGCCACCGCCACCCACAAGGCGUACGUCCCUUCUCUUUCCUCAUACAUCAUGCGCCUCGCUGUAAUAUGACUAUAUAUGUUGAUCUUGCUAUGGGACUAAGGAUGGAUGGAUGGGUGCAGGAGCUCCGGCGGGAUGGAGAUGGCGGCGGAGAAUGGCGGCUGCGGCUGCACCCAGUGCAAGUGCGGCACCAGCUGCGGCUGCUCCUGCUGCAGCUGCUAGAUCAUUGAUCAUCGAUCAUGCAUGCACCGCGCGCAUGCAUCAUAUCUAUGAUCGAUCCAUCCAUCCAUCUAGUACCAUGUAACGCUACCUGAUCGAGGGUCUUUGUAUGUAUGUAAGCACCUGCCAGCAUGAGCAGAGCAGGUGCACUCCCAUGCAUGUAAACCGACCCCUAAAUAAAAUCUCCCGUGGUUUAACCUAUACAUGUGUUUGUGUUAUAGACCAGCUUCUGGCCCAUGUUUACUAUCAACUUGCGAGGUGCCUGGGUUGCUAAUAGACCAGCUGAAUGCUCUCUUAAAGCAACGUAUGCACCGCUUGGAAUCGGUGUAUCUUUCUUUAUACACAUGUAUUUAUUUUACAGGUGUAUAUCAUCGGCCACACCUGGGAAAAACGAUGGAUGGAGAAGGGUAAAUUUACAGGGGUAUUGCUCUGUGAAACGAGGGUCGAAUCAGGGUCGUAAGGGUGUUUGAUACGUGUGAAUAUUACUGGCCGAAGUUGAGUAUGAGAUACAUACAAUACAAACUUGACACUUUUGAAAGUCGUGCUAUCAAUCAUGAGACACAUAGUUUAGCCAAAUUCUCGCUUAAUCUUUGUCAAAGGGUGUCACGUACUCACGUCUGGUUUGGCCAACCCCAUGAUCCGAUAUGUAUCCCACUCUUUGUGGUUUUCGAUGAAUAAAAUUUGGUUAAACCCUAAAAAAAACUUAUUUUGC